rnacentral:rRNA from 1 species
CCGCAUGGUUCAAUCAUAAAAGGUGGCUUUUAGCUACCACUUACAGAUGGACCCGCGGCGCAUUAGCUAGUUGGUGAGGUAACGGCUCACCAAGGCGACGAUGCGUAGCCGACCUGAGAGGGUGAUCGGCCACACUGGGACUGAGACACGGCCCAGACUCCUACGGGAGGCAGCAGUAGGGAAUCUUCCGCAAUGGACGAAAGUCUGACGGAGCAACGCCGCGUGAGUGAUGAAGGUUUUCGGAUCGUAAAACUACUGUUGUUAGGGAAGAACAAGUACCGUUCGAAUAGGGCGGCACCUUGACGGUACCUAACCAGAAAGCCACGGCUAAC